CACACAGUUUAACAUGAUGGACUAUAGGACAGGACUGCUGCUGCUCACUGUCUGCUGGGCAGGUGUUGGUGGUCAGACUCUGACAGAAUCUGAACCAGAGACUAAAAGGCCUGGAGAAUCUCACAGAUUGACCUGUACAGCCUCUGGAUUCACAUUCAGUAGCUCCUACAUGGCCUGGGUCAGACAGGCUCCUGGAAAAGGACUGGAGUGGAUAGCUUAUAUCAGCACAGAUAGUUCUCCGAUCUCUUACUCCCAGUCGGUCCAGGGUAGAUUCACUAUCUCCAGAGAUGACUCCAGCAGUAAAGUGUAUCUGCAGAUGAACAGUCUGAAGGCCGAGGACACAGCAGUGUAUUACUGUGCCAGAAGACACAGUGAGAGACAGUAACAGGGGAGUCGUACAAAAACUACUUCCUCUAUUUACCACCACCCAUGAGAGCAUUCACUUUAUAUUGAAAUACUUAUUAACUGAAUAUUGACAUCCUAUUUCAUCUAAUUUGACGCAAUGUUUAAUUCAGUUGCAACCUGAAGAAAUCUAGUGAAUUCUAACUGAAAAAUUGUAUGUUUUGAAGGAAAUAUGUAUUUUUGUGUCUUUUGUGCCUCCAACUAAAUGUAUCAUAGAUAAUAUAAAAAUGUCCCAUUUCAAACAA